rnacentral:rRNA from 1 species
CACGUAGGGGGCAAGCGUUGUCCGGAUUUAUUGGGCGUAAAGAGCUCGUAGGUGGUUCGGUAAGUCGGGUGUGAAACCUUCAGGCUCAACCUGGAGACGCCACCCGAUACUGCUGUGACUGGAGUCCGGUAGGGGAGCGUGGAAUUCCUGGUGUAGCGGUGAAAUGCGCAGAUAUCAGGAGGAACACCGGUGGCGAAGGCGGGUCUCUGGGCCUUACCUGACGCUGAGGAGCGAAAGCGUGGGUAGCGAACAGG